CAGAAGCAGCUGACACAGCAUCAGAAACUGUAGUCUGUAUGACUGCUGGAUCAUUAAUCAGAGUGAUUGUGAGUAUUGUAGAGAUUGCAGUGUUUGCUGCUCCUACUGUGAUUCUUCUUCAGAUCAUCUGUGUGAGAAGAGCUGGAAGGAAGAACUCUCGUCACCAAAAUGAAAUCGAGAUGUCUGCAGUUCUACAAUGAAACACCCAAACAGUGUAUACUAUAAAGAUUAUAGCAAUAAUUAUUUUAAUGUUUAUGGAUAUUAUAGAUAUUUGCAUUAAGCUGAAUGUUAUUUUCCAGUUAUCCAUAUUAUACAGACUGCUUUAAAUAUGAUAUUAAAUAAGGUCAUCAUCAAAGCGAGUCAGGUACCUUAAUAAACAUAUUUUAAAAUGUUAAAAAAGAUUUAAAA